rnacentral:rRNA from 1 species
UACGGAGGGUGCAAGCGUUACUCGGAAUCACUGGGCGUAAAGAGCGCGUAGGCGGGAUAGCAAGUCAGAUGUGAAAUCCUAUGGCUUAACCAUAGAACUGCAUUUGAAACUGUUAUUCUAGAGUAUGGGAGAGGUAGGUGGAAUUCUUGGUGUAGGGGUAAAAUCCGUAGAGAUCAAGAGGAAUACUCAUUGCGAAGGCGGCCGCCUGGCCUGUUAACUGACGCUGAGGCACGAAAGCGUGGGGAGCAAAUAGG